AGUGAACGCUGGCGGUAGGCCUAACACAUGCAAGUCGAACGGCAGCACAGAGGAGCUUGCUCCUUGGGUGGCGAGUGGCGGACGGGUGAGGAAUACAUCGGAAUCUACUCUGUCGUGGGGGAUAACGUAGGGAAACUUACGCUAAUACCGCAUACGACCUGCGGGUGAAAGCAGGGGACAUUCGGGCCUUGCGCGAUUGAAUGAGCCGAUGUCGGAUUAGCUAGUUGGCGGGGUAAAGGCCCACCAAGGCGACGAUCCGUAGCUGGUCUGAGAGGAUGAUCAGCCACACUGGAACUGAGACACGGUCCAGACUCCUACGGGAGGCAGCAGUGGGGAAUAUUGGACAAUGGGCGCAAGCCUGAUCCAGCCAUACCGCGUGGGUGAAGAAGGCCUUCGGGUUGUAAAGCCCUUUUGUUGGGAAAGAAAUCCAGCUGGCUAAUACCCGGUUGGGAUGACGGUACCCAAAGAAUAAGCACCGGCUAACUUCGUGCCAGCAGCCGCCGUAA
rnacentral:rRNA from 1 species